rnacentral:rRNA from 1 species
GUGGGGAAUUUUGGACAAUGGGGGCAACCCUGAUCCAGCAAUGCCGCGUGCAGGAAGAAGGCCUUCGGGUUGUAAACUGCUUUUGUACGGAACGAAACGGUCCUGGUUAAUACCUGGGGCUAAUGACGGUACCGUAAGAAUAAGCACCGGCUAACUACGUGCCAGCAGCCGCGGUAAUACGUAGGGUGCGAGCGUUAAUCGGAAUUACUGGGCGUAAAGCGUGCGCAGGCGGUGCUGUAAGACAGGCGUGAAAUCCCCGGGCUCAACCUGGGAAUUGCGCUUGUGACUGCAGCGCUGGAGUGCGGCAGAGGGGGAUGGAAUUCCGCGUGUAGCAGUGAAAUGCGUAGAUAUGCGGAGGAACACCGAUGGCGAAGGCAAUCCCCUGGGCCUGCACUGACGCUCAUGCACGAAAGCGUGGGGAGCAAACAGGAUUAGAUACCCCUGUAGUCC